rnacentral:lncRNA from 1 species
AUGGCCCCCUGGGGCCAAGCCAGUGCCUCCCAGGGGGCCCUGCCGGGCCCAGCGUUGGCCUUCUGGCAUCCUCUUCGUGUCCAGAACAUCUUCAGGUCGGCCUCUCUGGGCCCAGCGCCUCCUCUCAGCAGCAUCUACAGGCCCAACAUGCGAAUUUUUCUUGCAGCAACCUGUGUGGACUUGGCUCCUGCACAGCUCCCGAUGGCCUUUGUAGGCCCAAAAGCUCAGACUACCGACUCAGGCUCUCCAGGCCCACCCGGCUCAUGCCUCAUUAGUGGCCUCUCUGAGCUCAGCUCCUGCCCUCCCAGGGCAUCUCCAGGCCCCAGACAUUCCCAAGUCGGCUUCUGCCAGCCCGGCUCCUGUUGCCUCCUCCUGCUGGCCAUGGGAUGCCCAGUAUUAGGUCCUGAAUUCAGCCUCUCUAGGCCCAGCUCCUGCCCUCCUGGCGUCUCCUCCUCAUGGGCGCAAAACUUCAUCAGGUGGGUUCCUCGUACACACUGGCGUCUCCAAGACCAUCUGCUUAGUCAUGUCUGCCUCUGAAGAUGCAACUCCUGUUUUGCCGUGGACAUUUUCACCUCAGUUCCUGCCUCACGAUGGCCUCUUCGGGCUCUUCUCCUGCCUCUUAAUGGACACUCAAGUCUCAUCUCCUCUCAUGGUGGCUUUUUCUGCAGUGCACGUGCGUUAUAAUGGCCUCUUGUCGAUCCAGCUCUAUAUGUCUUUGAUUUUCAACUGCAUCUAGAAUCCCAAAGCUUCCCUGGACUCUCGUGUUUAGUUUCUCGCAGUGCGCCUUGGCUAAAUGCCUAUGUCUACUUUUAAUCUUGAAAGUGUAUUUCUGACCGAUUUGUAGUAAAUUCUGCCUGUGUCAUUUUACAGUGUGGUCUGUUUUAUUCAAUGUCUCAUUGUUUUUCUUGUCUUCUGGGGGUUCAGAGCAGAUUAAGCCUCUGCUUUGUCGGUCUGUCUUUGCCCUGGACAUGGUAGCUGCUCAUUUCAGGUCUUGUUUUUUAUAUUUUUUCCUGUUAACUUUUUUAUCCUCGUGCUCUGUCACCCAGGCUUGGGUGUCAUCAUGUGAUCAUGGCUCCACUGCAGCCUUGGCCUUUUGGCCUCCACUGAUUUUCCCCAGUCAUCAUCUUCAGUAGCUGGGACUACAGGCAGACGUUGCCAUUUCUGACUAGUUUCUGGUUUGGUUUGAGAAGUUGGUUCUCUGUUGCUCAGGCUGGUUUUUUUUUUUUUUUUGAGAUGGGGUCUCACUCAGUUGCCCAGUCUAGAGUUCAGUGGCAGGAUCUCAGCUCACUGCAGCCUUGGCCUCCUGGGUUCAAGUGAUUCUCCUACCUCAGCCUCCUGAGUAGCUGGGAUGAUAGGUGCGUGCCACCAAGACCGGCUAAUUUUUGUUGUUGUAUCGGGCCAAGCAUAGAAAGUCAACACCAAGACAAAAGUAUGCCAAAUUGCAGGGUUUAUUGCCGGCGACCACAGAGGACUCAAGUCUGUCCAGCCCAUGGCAGAGAAAGACGGGAGACAAGAUUUUUUUAUACCCGCAAAACCACCUUGGGAGUGGAGGUGAGGAGUGGGGAUGGGAUUAAAGUCUUCAGACAUUUCAGGGGCUGUAAAUCACCUUGUGGGCAGAGCGGAGGGUGAUGGGGCUCUGGACAGUCCAAGGGCCAGGCGACUUUUGUCAUUCCAGUUGCCACUUAAGUGGUUUACAGAAGUCAAGAUAAACAUUAGUUUAACAUUAUUUGGGCAGGUGUGGGGUCCACAGAUUUUUUAGUUACUUUGCAUCAGGAUGGAAUUAUCUGGGGGUGCUUCCUCUGGUCAUUACCGGUAAACAAAGGCCACCAAUUCUGGCAGUUACAGAUAAGAGAAGGUAUG